CACCGGCAGCUCAAGUGGUGGCCACUUUUAUUGGGCCUAAAGCGUUCGUAGCCGGCCUAAUAAGUCUCUGGUGAAAUCCCACGGCUUAACUGUGGGAAUUGCUAGAGAUACUAUUAGGCUUGAGGCCGGGAGAGGCUGGAGGUACUCCCGGGGUAGGGGUGAAAUCCUAUAAUCCCGGGAGGACCACCUGUGGCGAAGGCGUCCAGCUGGAACGGACCUGACGGUGAGUAACGAAAGCCAGGGGC
rnacentral:rRNA from 1 species